GACGAACGCUGGCGGCGUGCUUAACACAUGCAAGUCGAACGGAAAGGCCCUGCUUUUGUGGGGUGCUCGAGUGGCGAACGGGUGAGUAACACGUGAGUAACCUGCCCUUGACUUUGGGAUAACUUCAGGAAACUGGGGCUAAUACCGGAUAGGAGCUCCUGCUGCAUGGUGGGGGUUGGAAAGUUUCGGCGGUUGGGGAUGGACUCGCGGCUUAUCAGCUUGUUGGUGGGGUAGUGGCUUACCAAGGCUUUGACGGGUAGCCGGCCUGAGAGGGUGACCGGCCACAUUGGGCUUGAGCUACGGCCCGGACUCCACCGGGAGGCAGCGGUGGGGUAUAUUGUACAAUGGGCGGAGGCAUGACGCAGCAACGCCGCGCGGCGGAUGGCGGCAUUCGGGUUGUAAACCGCUUUCGCCUGUGACGAAGAGUGAGUGACGGUAAUGGAUAAAGAAGCACCGGCUAACUACGUG
rnacentral:rRNA from 1 species